CACCAUCGGGCGUUUUCCCAAACAAUUGCCUGAGCAGCCUCAGAGCAAUCCAUCUCCCUGCCGACACUGCUUUGGUAUUAGGGGUCUCCCAGGAGCAGAUUCUGUGGCAAAUAUGAUGCACAGAGCCAAAUCCAGGAAGAUCUAGACCCUUGGAGGCCCAGACCAAGUCUACCAUGACAGGCUCCUGCCAUCAGCUCCAUAUCGAGCAACGGCAUCUGGAAGCUCGUUUGGGGUAGGAACUGCUCCCUUUCACCACCCCUGCUGGCCUUCUGUGGGCAGAGAGAUGCCCUGUGACUGCUCCUGUCUGAUCACAUUCCCCACUCUCCUCACCCUGAAGCUAACAUCUCUGCACUGGCUGGAAAAAAUUGAAUUCCUUUCCCAACACAUCAAUAAGUGUCCUCAGACAGAGGUGGUUGAAAAGAAGAGACAGCUGCCAUGGUGUGCAGCAGAGCUUCCUGACAAGGAUCCUACAUCCUGAAAGA